rfam:Camelus ferus unplaced genomic scaffold scaffold1879, whole genome shotgun sequence.
GAGGAUAUAGCUUAAGUGGUAGAGCACAUGCCUAGCAUGAACAAGGUCCUGGGUUCAAUCCCCAAUAUCUUCU